AUGGCCUCUCCUUCAGGUCUGGGGUGACCCCAGUGCAAUGGAACAAUAAAUUCCUGUUGCUUUUUGCAUCAGCUCCAUGUGGCUCACUCAGGAGGUCCCUGAGGACUAGAGUUUGGUUCCCGGGACCCACAAGAUGGCCCAUAACCUCCUGUAUCUCCAGUUUCAGGGCAUCUGAGACCUCUUCUGGAUUCCUUGGGCACUGUACAUACAGGUUCUCAAGUUCUGCCUAGGUCCUCAUACAACCUGCCAUGUUGCCUUCGGCAGACUGCCUUCCAUUGGGUUGGGACUACAUCACACUCGGGAAGGACUACUGUAAGAUGUGCCUGGUGAGCUGGUAAUGAAGUUGGUGCUGCCCGAUGGCUUCCCAAGGAUGGGAUUUUGACAAGUUUGACAAUGAACUCCAUGCCAAGGCAGGCAGGUGGAUCCCAGAGCCUUUCAUGUUGCAGUCCCAUCUCUCAAGACUGAAGUGGCUUGUUCCAAAUCCCACCCACUGCUUUACCAAGCCCAUCUCUCCACACUCUCAAGAUAGAUUUCUCUCUGUGGUCAGUUAGGCCGCUGUGUGGUUUCCCCUACUGGAUUCCCUUUUGUGGUUGGAGGGCAAACAUUUUCUUGCCUGCUGCUUCCAGGAAUGUGUGUGCUGCACAGGAGGGUUUUAUUUUACUCCCCUUGAAUGGGAUGGCAGUCAUCCAGCAGGCCUGGGAGCAUG
rnacentral:lncRNA from 1 species